rnacentral:rRNA from 1 species
UACAGAGGUCUCAAGCGUUGUUCGGAUUCAUUGGGCGUAAAGGGCGCGUAGGCUGCGGGGCAAGUCGGGUGUGAAAUCUCAGAGCUCAACUCUGAAACUGCACUCGAUACUGCUUUGCUCGAGGACUGGAGAGGAGAUUGGAAUUCACGGUGUAGCAGUGAAAUGCGUAGAUAUCGUGAGGAAGACCAGUGGCGAAGGCGGAUCUCUGGACAGUUCUGACGCUGAGGAGCGAAAGCGU